UACGUAGGUCCCGAGCGUUGUCCGGAUUUAUUGGGCGUAAAGCGAGCGCAGGUGGUUUAUUAAGUCUGGUGUAAAAGGCAGUGGCUCAACCACGGGAGUGCAUUGGAAACUGGCGUGCUGGAGUGCCGGAGAGGUAAGCGGAAUUCCUAGUGUAGCGGUGAAAUGCGUAGAUAUUAGGAGGAACACCAGUGGCGAAGGCGGCUUACUGGACGGCAACUGACGCUGAGGCUCGAAAGCGUGGGGAGCAAACAGG
rnacentral:rRNA from 1 species